AGAAGAUGGACAUAACAGCAUGAUAAAGACCCUCUGGAGUUCCAAAAAUGUAGAGACAGACCCUGUAACAUGCUGUGGUGGAGUUUAAAGACUGACCCUCCGUAAGUGCAUAGAUUUCUCCAAUCAAGUGUUUACCUUUCAUGUUCAAAUCACACAGCCACUGUCAUGACUUACAAUGUUCUUCACAAACCUGAACUCUAACUCCUUACAAGAAUAAGAGGUGUAAUGGGGUGUUUAAUACACACUGGUGUCAUUUCAGAUGUGAGAAAGGGGAAGCCCAGUCCUGGACACUGACAGACUGGAUCUUCACCAGUAGGAUUGAAGAGGAGCCAGACUCACUGCACCUCUGCCUCAAAACCUCUGCCUCAGACUGAAGCUAAAGACAGAGGCUCUGAAGCUCCCACACUGCACACUCUAUAAGAACAACCAUCCGUCUAAUUGUACUGUGGUGGUAAACACAAGUUAAGUUUUAAACAGUAUGGUAUGGCUACACUCUGUCUCAUCUGUCCAGGCUUUUACUCAUAUAGCUUAUAUUUGUUUUUUGCCAUUUAAAAAAAACAAAAACUUUGCUUAACUUGAACUAUUUUUAGUAAAAACUGUAAAUUGUCAUUUUCAUAUUAAGAAUGAAGCAUUGGUUAACUCAAAGGGUAUAUAAGUCCUAUAACAUUAAUAAUAAGUAUUCAUGUCCUAAGAUUUCUAAUUAAUGAUUUAAAUAAAUAUAGUUUACAAUGUAAAAAAAAAAAAAAAAAAGU